CCUGUACUCCCACUAGGUUAUUGAAGUUGGUGUUUAAGUGGCGCCUCAGCAGUGUUUUUUGAGGAGAGAUGUUCAGAAGCAUGGCCAUUGUUUCGGAGUUAAACCGAGGUUCCAACAUCUACCAGAGGACAAUCAAUGUUGGGAGCAUACUCUGCCAGGUCCACAGAUCUCAGCCACUCCAUGACUCGGUGGUUGGACCACUGGACCACUUCGCUGGGACUGAACUCACUCUGAGGCACACGGAAAAAAGAACAAAUUAAAAUACAACAUUACUUGUAUUCCUGUUUCACAUGUAGACAACAGGACUCUGAGUAUAGUACAAACUAGUAGGAUGACAGAUAGAAUUAUACUAUUAAAUAGAACAGGAUGCAUGAUUCAGGCUGUAAUAAAGGUUUGUAUUUAUUCUUGUAACCUAUAAGUAAGUGCUGAAUAAAACAAAAAAAGGAAUAACUGCACAACCUGUGAGUAAUAUUCAAUAACAUUUAGAGUUUGAAAUUGGCUUACAUCUUCUUUCCUUACUUCUCAUGUGUUGUAGCUUUUGUGUAAAUUGAAUUUAUAAGUAAUGAACUAUCACAUUUAGUCAAGCCACGAAUGACAUGCAUGUGCUUUUAUUUGUUUUUGUUAAGCACGACAACAGAAAACAAGUACAUUAAGCCACUUUCUGAAGCAGUCCACACCAAAGCCACGCAAGAACCGCUGUUAAUAUUGACACAGGAGACUGAGCACAGAAGGGCCAUAUACUUGUGGCAGUAUGGCAAGCUAUUUGUGUAUAUAUUCUAUGUUGUUGAUUUCAGACAUCACUUUUAUAAAUUUUAUAAUAAAUUUUAUAAAUUAAAUUGGCAUGUAAAACCAGCCUUGGUGUUAACAGCUUGCAAGCUUAUAAAAAAAACAAAAUAUGACAUCUGAUAUUUCCAUUUGCUUUAUUGAUAUGUGAUAUUUUGCUUUAGUACCAUAAAUGUAAUGAACUGGGACCUAAACAUAAAGAGUUGUGAUUAAAGUGUACUAUUAAAUGUUUAGUAUUUCUCUUACUAAUUUGCCUAUGUUAUAUCUGCUUUAUUUUUUUCCCACUCUGAUUCCUAAGUUUUCAUUUUUCUUUUUUGCCAAGUAAAGAUGCUAUUAUCACCA